UACAGAGGGGCAAGCGUUGUUCGGAAUUACUGGGCGUAAAGGGCGCGUAGGCGGCCUGUUAAGUCGAACGUGAAAUCCCCGGGCUCAACCCGGGAACUGCGUCCGAUACUGGCAGGCUUGAAUUCGGGAGAGGGAUGUGGAAUUCCAGGUGUAGCGGUGAAAUGCGUAGAUAUCUGGAGGAACACCGGUGGCGAAGGCGGCAUCCUGGACCGAUAUUGACGCUGAUGCGCGAAAGCCAGGGGAGCAAACGGGG
rnacentral:rRNA from 1 species